UGUUUGCUUUGAUUGAUUCGCUACGAAGGAAAUGUGCAGCUACUGAAUUGCACAUUUGCAAACCUCCAAUUGCAGUGCUAAAUACAGUAUACAGUGUACAGCUUGACAAGUUACAGUCAAGUCAAUACAUUGUAAGAAAACAACUAAUGAAAAAUACAGAGGUCACCUUGAUUGAUUGGCUACAAUGGAAAUGCACGACUACGAUGGAGAUCACCAGGGUUUGACGACAAAACCCCGAAUUAGCUCACGCAAGGACAAAUUCAGCCUGGCUACCUACUCAGAUAAAACGACAACUUCAAACUGAGAACUACUUAUAGAGCUUCAUAACAGAACAUGGAAAGAAGAGUUCAGAAGCUGCAAAGGAGGCUUGACUUGCUAUAUAUACAGAGUAUACAUACAGUAAAGGAGUUGCAAAUGAGACAUACCAGAGUAAUAUAUACAGUAUACGAUGAGAGAAUACUUUUCAAGACAUAACUGACAAUACCACAUUUGCCUUGAUUGAUUUGCUGCUAAGGAAAUGUGCAAGUACAAUGGUAAUGCACGACUAGAAUGGAGAUCACUGGGGAUUGACGGCAAAACCCAAAAUUAGCUCAUGGAAGAACAAAUUCAGCCUGGCUACCUACUCAGAUAAAAGAUAAAACGGCAACUUCAAAUUGAGGACUACUCUCUCCGUCCCAUAAUAUAAGAGCAUUUUUUACACUAGAGCUUUCAUAACAGAACAUGGAAAGGGGGG
rnacentral:lncRNA from 1 species